CAUCACUAUACUGUUUUCACUGGCAAUGUUCUGUCCUGUGCAGUGGUUGUCAAUUCUACCUUGUCCUCUGCCAUGAGAAAAAGUUAUCUGGAGUAAAUAUAAGCGGCAAUUAAAUCAUCUCCAGCAAGUGAACUGGCUCCCAUUAGUGGUUCCUAUGUUAAGACUGACACCUUUUCUCUCUCCAAGAGAGAAAAAAAAUUGUGCCUGCAAACAUGCUUGUAUCAUAUUUGCCAGAAUAUUAUACAUCCUGUCCAAGUCGAAACAAUAUUUUUUAUAUGUCCUAGCAAAUCGUGUAAGCAUUGUGCCGUCGAGAAAAUUUUAUCGAAAGGGAAAAGAAAGUCAAGCAAGGCGAACCUGGGUGGCAGGCCUUGGAGGUUUGUGAAAAAAAACUCCUAAAAGAUGCAAUAGCAUCGCAUUGCCAUGGAACACAUAAGCUGACUUUGUAACAACAUGCUUUCUAUUCUUUUUUUUAUCGUGGAGCAGGCUUGAAAUUGGAUGAAAUUUCUAUAUGGUUCAAGAAGCUAGCUGUGAAAAUCAUCUUAAUGUUCUAUUUCUUGCUUUUUUCUUGCUUUAUGUAACUCUCUAGUUGUAGCCUUUCUACUACUUUUUUGGAAUAUGCCAGUCUUAUUCUUGGCCUUGUACCAUCAGAAAUCAUUAACUAUGACAGGAAUCUGGUACAGAUGUCAUUCUCCGUGCAUGUGGUCGGCUUAGAUACCUGCGGAAAAAGCUUUUCAAAUUGAAUAUUGUGCAUGGUUUACUUUGAGCUGAGGUGUGCAACAAACCUUCAUUUUGCCGGAUGGAUAUGUUCAUCAAUUUCUCAGAUCCAUUUGUGAUUAAGAGGUUUAAUGUCAAGGCAUGCACAUGGGCAUUUGGAAUGAAUUUGUUUGAUAUGCAAGAGUGGAAGAGGCAUAAUUUAACAGCUCUCUAUAAUAAAUACUUGCAACUGGUACGUGACUAUCUCUUGUUACACAUUUGCUUAUGCUUGCAUGCUGACAUGCUUUCUGGAUUUAUGUUAUCUCUGCUGUUCUGAAAAACAUGCUUGCUGAUUUAGCAUUGUUCAUCUUCAAAAGAUGUUUACUCCUCUCUCGAUUUUUCCA